CCUACGGGUGGCAGCAGUGGGGAAUAUUGGGCAAUGGGCGCAAGCCUGAUCCAGCAACGCCGCGUGAAGGAAGAAGGCUUUCGGGUUGUAAACCUCUUUUCUCAGGGACGAAGAAAGUGACGGUACCUGAGGAAUAAGCGACGGCAAACAACGUGCCAGCAGCCGCGGUAAUACGGAGGUGGCAAGCGUUAUGCGGAUUUAUGGGGUGUAAAGGGUGCGUAGGCGGGCUUUUACGUCAGCGGUAAAAAUUCGGGGCUAGACCCCGUCCGGCCGUUGAAACUGGGGGCCUUGAGUGUGCGAGAAGAAAGCGGAAUUCGUGGUGUAGCGGUGAAAUGCAUAGAUAUCACGCAGAACCCCGAUUGCGAAGGCAGCCUUCCGGCGCCCUACUGACGCUGAGGCACGAAAGUGCGGGGAUCGAACAGGAUUAGAUACCCUUGUAGUC
rnacentral:rRNA from 1 species